CCGUGAGGGAAAGUUGAAAAGAACUUUGAAGAGAGAGUUCAAGAGGACGUGAAAUCACUUGGGUCGAAGCGGAUAGAGUUGACGAAACUGGCGGCAUUCAGGUCGUGCGUUGUCGUGAGAGGGCGGGUGGCUUUAAUUGCACUCGUAAGUCCUUUAAGCGGCGGCGUUUCGUACUGCACUUGUCGUCGGUAUACGCUGAGGCGGUCGAUUGCCCCUUCCGAAGCUUGUAGCGUUGCCCACCGCGUGUGGUGUCUUGCUGCGGGCGUAGGUUGAUGUGGUGAUUGGCUGUCAGUCGCGCUCCCGGCCUCUGCGCUCUGCGUCGUUGCCAGUGCUGUAGGCGGUGUCGGAGGCUUGCCUCCUGGCGUCGCUUGCUGUGCUGGUGCGGCGCGGUGCGUUUGGGAGCGUUCUCGGUGUGGAAAAGUCGACCACCUAUCCGACCCGUCUUGAAACACGGACCAAGAAGUCUAGUACGUGCGCGAGUCAUUGGGUGCUCAAACUCAUAUGGCGCAAUGAAAGUAAAGGUCAGCGUUGGUUGACUGAUAUGUGAUCCGUGGGCUUGCUCGCGGCGCAACAUAGCCCCAUGCUAUUUGCUUGCAAAGGUGUGGAGGUAGAGCGUACGUACUGGGACCCGAAAGAUGGUGAACUAUGCUUGAGCAGGACGAAGUCAGAGGAAACUCUGAUGGAGGUCCGUAGCGGUUCUGACGUGCAAAUCGAUCGUCGGACUUGAGUAUAGGGGCGAAAGACUAAUCGAACCAUC
rnacentral:rRNA from 3 species